AAACCAAGUGAAUUUCUGGUUUCUUAGAUUUCUCCUAUUCAAAGUAUUCCAAAAACUGAAGAAAUGUGUUUUUCCCACCCCUGACCAAUCCCAUUUGGUGAUGUAAUUCUAAAGGGAGAAUUAAGGAUUCAUGACAAAUCAGGCUGUUUCCCAGUCUUGGCCCUUUGCUUUGCCAAACAUCAUAUUUUAUUUCAACAGCCACAACUCCUGAGGAUUAUUCAUAAACUGAGAAACGAAGUGUCAGUAGAAGAUGUGGGAUGGGAAGAAAUUUGGAUGUUCCUUAUUGCAGAUGUUAUGUCGUACCACAGGGCAGAAGAAAUGGCCUGACAUCAGAAUGGAGCAGUAGAUUCUGCUGGAGAAGAGGUUGCCCCACUUGCUAGGCAUUUCGAUAAAUUUCUUUAUCAUUCUGAUUUCCUGCAUGUACACCAUUUCUGAACGUCCUGGAGCCUCUGCCCUCAACAGACAUGAUCGGAAAUUGGGAGACAGUGGAAAUAUUACUAUCCAACAUUCAUGUUUUUCUAAAAUGUCACAAUUAUAAUUCAGUAAAUGCCAUAUGUAUUGGGAUAAAAUUUAUAAAAAUAAGGCUUUGUACUGGAGUUCGCAAUUGUAAUAAAGGUACUUGAAGCAAGUAAAGUAUUAUGUGCAUUUAAUGUUCAGAGAGGAAGUAUGUGACUGUGGAUUGUGACUACUGUCUUUUUAGAAUUUAUUUUACUCAAGUCUUGUUCAGUAAUAGCACUUUUAUUUUUCUGUCAGAAAGUUGUGGGCUCAAGCCCCAUUCCAGGGACUUGAGCCCAUUAUUAAUUUGAUGCUUCAGUAAACAGUGAGGGAGUGGUACAUUAUUGAGAUGCUGUCUUUUGGAAGUGACCUGAAAAAGCAAGCCCUGUCUCACUUCUGGGUGGAUGUAAAAGAUCACAGUGCACAAAAUUGAAGAAGACUCAAGGUGUUUUCCUGAUGUGCUGGCCAAAGUACCUGUCAUUGAUUUCAUUACUGUAUGUGAGACCAAAUUGACUCCUGUAUUAAUCUGGAUUACAGGAAUGAAUACAGUUCAUAAAAUACUUAGUGGACAGUGGAACACUUGGAGAUAUCCAGAAGACAAAGAGAAUGCCACAUUUUCCAAGUUCUUCCACAUUUUUCAGGAAAGUUAU